rnacentral:rRNA from 1 species
CAGUAGAACGCUGAAGAGAGGAGCUUGCUCUUCUUGGAUGAGUUGCCAAUGGGUGAGUAACGCGUAGGUAACCUGCCUUGUAGCGGGGGAUAACUAUUGGAAACGAUAGCUAAUACCGCAUAACAAUGGAUGACACAUGUCAUUUAUUUGAAAGGGGCAAUUGCUCCACUACAAGAUGGACCUGCGUUGUAUUAGCUAGUAGGUGAGGUAACGGCUCACCUAGGCGACGAUACAUAGCCGACCUGAGAGGGUGAUCGGCCACACUGGGACUGAGACACGGCCCAGACUCCUACGGGAGGCAGCAGUAGGGAAUCUUCGGCAAUGGGGGCAACCCUGACCGAGCAACGCCGCGUGAGUGAAGAAGGUUUUCGGAUCGUAAAGCUCUGUUGUAAGUCAAGAACGAGUGUGAGAGUGGAAAGUUCACACUGUGACGGUAGCUUACCAGAAAGGGACGGCUAACUACGUGCCAGCAGUCGCGGUAAUACGUAGGUCCCGAGCGUUGUCCGGAUUUAUUGGGCGUAAAGCGAGCGCAGGCGGUUUGAUAAGUCUGAAGUUAAAGGCUGUGGCUCAACCAUAGUUCGCUUUGGAAACUGUCAAACUUGAGUGCAGAAGGGGAGAGUGGAAUUCCAUGUGUAGCGGUGAAAUGCGUAGAUAUAUGGAGGAACACCGGUGGCGAAAGCGGCUCUCUGGUCUGUAACUGACGCUGAGGCUCGAAAGCGUGGGGAGCGAACAGGAUUAGAUACCCUGGUAGUCCACGCCGUANACGAUGAGUGCUAGGUGUUGGAUCNUUUCCGGGAUUCAGUGCCGCAGCUAACGCAUUA